rnacentral:rRNA from 1 species
CCUACGGGUGGCAGCAGUGGGGAAUUUUGGACAAUGGGGGCAACCCUGAUCCAGCAAUGCCGCGUGUGUGAAGAAGGCCUUCGGGUUGUAAAGCACUUUUGUCCGGAAAGAAAACGCCGUGGUUAAUACCCGUGGCGGAUGACGGUACCGGAAGAAUAAGCACCGGCUAACUACGUGCCAGCAGCCGCGGUAAUACGUAGGGUGCAAGCGUUAAUCGGAAUUACUGGGCGUAAAGCGUGCGCAGGCGGUCCGCUAAGACAGAUGUGAAAUCCCCGGGCUUAACCUGGGAACUGCAUUUGUGACUGGCGGGCUAGAGUAUGGCAGAGGGGGGUAGAAUUCCACGUGUAGCAGUGAAAUGCGUAGAGAUGUGGAGGAAUACCGAUGGCGAAGGCAGCCCCCUGGGCCAAUACUGACGCUCAUGCACGAAAGCGUGGGGAGCAAACAGGAUUAGAUACCCUAGUAGUC